UACGCUGGUAGAAAGAAAAAA
rnacentral:piRNA from 1 species